rnacentral:rRNA from 1 species
UACGAGUGCCCCAAGCGUUAUCCGGAAUCAUUGGGCGUAAAGGGUGUGUAGGUGGUCUCGUUAGUCUCCUGUUAAAACUUUUGGCUUAACCAGAAGAUUGCAGGGGAAACGGCGAGACUGGAGGGUGCGAGAGGUGAAUGGAACUCAUGGAGUAGGGGUGAAAUCCGUUGAUAUCAUGGGGAACACCAAAUGCGAAGGCAAUUCACUGGCGCAUUUCUGACACUGAAACACGAAAGCGUGGGUAGCGAACGGG